AGGACGAACGCUGGCGGCGUGCUUAACACAUGCAAGUCGAGCGGAAAGGCCCUUCGGGGUACUCGAGCGGCGAACGGGUGAGUAACACGUGAGCAACCUGCCCCUAUGCUCUGGGAUAGCUUCGGGAAACCGGAAUUAAUACCGGAUAUGACCACGGUCGGCAUCGGCUGUGGUGGAAAGAUUUAUCGGCUAGGGAUGGACUCGCGGCCUAUCAGCUUGUUGGUGAGGUAACGGCUCACCAAGGCGACGACGGGUAGCCGGCCUGAGAGGGCGACCGGCCACACUGGGACUGAGACACGGCCCAGACUCCUACGGGAGGCAGCAGUGGGGAAUAUUGCGCAAUGGGCGAAAGCCUGACGCAGCAACGCCGCGUGGGGGAUGAAUGCCUUCGGGUUGUAAACCCCUUUCAGCAGGGACGAAGCGAAAGUGACGGUACCUGCAGAAGAAGCGCCGGCUAACUACGUGCCAGCAGCCGCGGUAAUACGUAGGGCGCGAGCGUUGUCCGGAAUUAUUGGGCGUAAAGAGCUCGUAGGUGGUCUGCUGCGUCCGCUGUGAAAACCUAGGGCUUAACCCUGGGCCUGCAGUGGAUACGGGCAGACUAGAGGUAGGUAGGGGAGAAUGGAAUUCCCGGUGUAGCGGUGAAAUGCGCAGAUAUCGGGAGGAACACCGGUGGCGAAGGCGGUUCUCUGGGCCUUACCUGACACUGAGGAGCGAAAGCGUGGGGAGCGAACAGGAUUAGAUACCCUGGUAGUCCACGCCGUAAACGUUGGGCGCUAGGUGUGGGGUCCUUCCACGGAUUCCGUGCCGCAGCUAACGCAUUAAGCGCCCCGCCUGGGGAGUACGGCCGCAAGGCUA
rnacentral:rRNA from 1 species